GAUUAACGCUAGCGGCAGGCCUAAUACAUGCAAGUCGAGGGGCAGCAGGGUGUAGCAAUACAUCGCUGACGACCGGCGCACGGGUGCGUAACACGUAUGCAACCUACCUUUAACUGGGAAUAGCCCUCCGAAAGGAGGAUUAACACCGCAUAACAUCACGAGACGGCAUCGCCUUGUGAUCAAACCUCCGGGGGUUAAAGAUGGGCAUGCGUCCGAUUAGCUAGUUGGCGGGGUAACGGCCCACCAAGGCGACGAUCGGUAGGGGGUCUGAGAGGAUGAUCCCCCACACUGGUACUGAGACACGGACCAGACUCCUACGGGAGGCAGCAGUAAGGAAUAUUGGACAAUGGUCGCAAGACUGAUCCAGCCAUGCCGCGUGCAGGAUGAACGAUCUAUGAUCUGUAAACUGCUUUUGUUCGGGAAUAAACCCCUUCACGUGUGGAGGGCUGAAUGUACCGAAAGAAUAAGGGUCGGCUAACUUCGUGCCAGCAGC
rnacentral:rRNA from 1 species